UUCCGGUAUAUCAACUGAAAAAAAACAACAACCUCAGAGCUGAGAGUUUUGUUUUAUUUGGCGGACACUCUGAGAACUUAAGCCCAGGACAUAACCUCUCAGAUAGCCCUGCGGGACUGCUCCAAAGAGGCAAGCGAGGAGCCAGGAUACAUAGGAGUUUCUGCAACAAAGACCAAGUAGUCAGAACGUCAAAAUAUUGCUGCUAUUGUUGUUGUUGAGUUGUUCAGUCGUGUCCGACUCUUUUGCAACCCUGUGGACGGUAGCCUGCCAGGCUCCUCUGUCCAUGGAAUUCCCCAGGCAAUACUGGAGUGGGUUGCCAUGCCUUCCUCCAGGGAUCUUCCCAACCCAGGGAUUGAAUCCUCGUCUCAUGCACUGGCAGUCGGAUUCUUUACCACUGAGCCACCUUACUGUUAAAGAACACCAGACAUCUCAAGUUAAGAAUUUGGCGCAUGUCUAUGCAUGGGAAAGAUGCAAAAGUCUGGGCUUGCCGAUGUCAUUCCUUGGUAUGCCCUCAGCUUUCUGGGGCCAGAAUACCAUGUUUUCUCAUCCUGAGUCUCCUCAGGGUGCCCCCUGGUGGUGGCUGCAGUGGCUGACUUCUAGCUGGGGAGGGGGUGCUUCCUGCCUCCAUCCUGAGUUCCCUCAGGGCUUAUGGUCUAGGUGGCUAUAAUGUGGUGGUUUGAAGAUUGCAGCAUCCUUGUUUAUCAAUGUGGCAGCAACAUCUGUCAUUCACAGAUGCAGGGUUGCAAUAGGCAAGUCCUCCCCACCACCAAGCCCCCUUUCUUCUGCAGGGUCCAGUCUCAGACCCCGUGUCACCACAGUUGUCUUUGAGGGCAUAAAAGACAGGCUGCUUUGGACUUGUCAGGACCUGCCAGGGUCCAGGCACAAUGGCCACAGGAUGCCCGACUCCCUUGUGUUACCUACACCAGGAUUAGAUUUUUUUUGUAUCUUGGCCCAAUUUAUUUAUUUCUUUUUAUUGUUUCCUGUGGCAUAUGGGAUCACAGUUCCCCAACCAGGUAUCGAACCCACAACCCCUGCAGUGGAACACAAAGUCUUAACUACUAGACCACCAAGGAAUCUUCUGAGUCAGGGGAGUUAGCAUUUAUCAAGUGCUGAAGUUAAAAAAAAAAAAAAGAGUUCUGGGACUUUCAGAAAUCUGCUGGGUUCAUGCCAUUUAUUUUGGGCCACUAAAAAGAAUGGUGCCCUCCUUUCUUCCUUCUACUGAGAUAUAACUUACAUACCAUAAAUUUCACCACUUAAAAGUACAGUUUGGUGGGCUCCAGUAUACAGUCACCCCUCUGUAUCCACGGGUUUUGUAUCCAUAUCAGUUGUAUGAAUUCAACUGACAGUUGACUGAAAAAAUUAAAAGAAACUAUGUCCAGAAAGUCCCCAAAAGCAAAACUUGAAUUUGCCAAUGGCCAGCAACUAUUUACAUAUCAUUUACAUUAAACUUAAAUGGCUACCCAAUCCAGUAUUUUUGCCUGGAGAAUUCCAUGAACAGAGGAGCUAGGCUACAGUCAGUGGAAUCACCCAGAGUCAGACACAACUGAGUGACUAACACAAUGCUAUACUUAUUUACAUUGUAUUUAUAUUGUAUCAAGUGUUAUGAGUGAUCUAGAGAUGAUUUAAAGUAUACAGGAGACUGUGCAUAGAUUAUAUUAAAAUAAAAUAUUACCUUAUUUUAUGUAAGGAACUUGCGUGUGUGCUAAGUCACUUUAGUCAUGUCUGACUCUUUGUGGCCCUAUGGACUGUAGCCUGUCAGGCUCCUCUGUCCAUGGGAUUGUCUAAGCAAGAAUACUGGAGUGGGUUGCCAUUUGCUUCUCUAGGAAAUCUUCCCAACCCAGGGAUCGAACCUGAGUCUCUUAGGUCUCCUGCAUUGGUAGGCGGGUUCUUCACCAUGAGCAUCUUCAAAUUUGAGGAUCUUAAGAGGGCCCUGAAACUGUCCCACAUUUAGAUAUGGAGGGAGACUAGAUUCACAAAAUUGUGCAACCAUCAGUAUGAUGUAAUCCUAGGAUAUCACUAUCCUUUUUUAAUUUUUAAAAUAUUUAUUUAUUUGGCUUUGUUGGUUCUUAGUUGCAGCAUGCAGGAUCUUUGGUUUCAGCAUGUAGGAUCUAGUUCCCUGAUCAGGGAUUAAACUCAGGUCCCCUGCAUUGGCAGCACGGAGUCUUAGCCACUGGACCACCAGGGAAGUCGCUAGCCUUUUUUUUUUUUUUAAUUCACAUUUUUGGACAAGAUCAAUCUCAUAGGCUGAUUUGGAAGUAGGACUCCUUGGGCUUCUGUGGUUAAAUUUAAGACAUGAAUGCCUCCUGAGUGCACUGUUUUGAAGCUGUGUCUGGGUGGGGGCCAUAAAUUGAAGCUUGUGCAUGCUACCUCUGUAGCCCCCUUUCUCUAUAGUGCCCUUGCUUGCUAGUCAGGGGUGUGUGUACAUCUGCAUCUGGGUAUGGGAUGAAUUCUGCAGGAAAUACAGAUGGGCUGAACACCCUCGGUGAGACAGACUGACAUAUGGAGAUGCCUUUAUAAACCAGUCCUCACUUAUACAUACAUGAUUAAGGGGGGGGGGAGAGGCCUGAAUGUGGUUUGGCCUCUCUGAAUGGAAAAGUGGAUAUAAAUCUUAUUUCAAGUCCUCUAGUUACUGCAGUCUGGAGUCUCCCAAAUGUACUCCUUCAUCUGUCAGCCGCCCAGGUCAAGGCAUUUUGGUGGCUCUGAAAGGAAAGGGAGAAGAAAGGACCAGUGAGGGUGGAGGUCUCAGCUGGAAAUGCUCCCAAAUGUCCAUAGGUGUGGAGCAGGGAACUAUAGCUUCCUUGGGCCCAGGACUCCAGAGGUUCCUUAGGUAAGCUGAUGAAUGCACGGAAGUGCCUGCUGUGUGCAGCAACUCCAUUUACUGCAGUCUUUACAACCACCUUGAGGGGUGUGGGGGUCGUUCAUUCAUUCCACCAACAUAUAUUGAGUCCAUACCGUGAGUCUGAUGCUGUCUGUACACACAAGAACAUCAAGGCGUGGAGAGGCUAAGCAAUUUGCCAAAUUGAGGCCAGAUGCAGUUGCUUAAGGAGUGAGGCUUGGGGGUCAGAAAGGAAUGAAUAUGGGUCCCGGUUCCACUUCAUUCUCCCCCUCGUGAUGGUGGCCAAGUUUUACCUUUCUGGUCCUCAGCUUUCUCACCUGGAAAUGGGUUAGUACUAGUAUGUAUUUCACAGGACUGUGUUGAGAAUUGAAAGAGAUUACUAUCUAGGGUGGAUUUAGGUUGGCACACACUGUCUCCUGCACUGCAGGCAGACUACCAUCAGAGCCACCAGGGAAGCCAUCCCCUGGAGAAGGAAACGACAACCCAUUCUAGCCCUCUUGGCUGGAAAAUCCCAUAGACGGAGGAGCCUGAAAGGCUACAGUCCAUGGGGUCACAAAGAGUCAGACAAGACUAAGCGACUUCACUUACUUUCUUUCUGGCACUCUGAGCACGCAGUGUGAGUUAGCUUUAUUAUUAUUAUUCCCUGAGGUCACACACAGAAUCAGAAUUAGAACCAGCUUUUCCCUUCUGUUGCCUGUGCCACCUCCAGAGCCACUGACCUCAUUGAAAAGAAAGUGUUACUCGCUCAGUCUUUGUGACCCCAUGGACUAUAUAGCCAACCAUGCUCCUCUGUCCAUGGGAUUCUCCAGGCAAGGAUACUGGAGUGGGUUGCCAUUCCCUUCUCCAGGGGAUCUUCCCGACCCAGGGAUCAAACACGGGUCUGCUGCAUGGCAGGCACACUCUUUACUGUUUGAGCCACCAGGGAAGCCUUGGCCUCAUUAAAUUCUCCUGAAUCUUUGAGGAUCUGCAAAGGCCUUCCCCACUCAAGCUACCUUACAGUGAUGGCCACUCUGGGGGGGAGGGUGGGUGGGAAAUGGUCCUCUCCCCUACUGCCCAUGUGGGGAAAGGUAGCUAUCCAGUGCAUCUGGGCAUUCUGACCGGCUCUUUCCUUCUCUAGGACUAUUCUAGAAUCCCUGGGAAAGGCUGGGAACAUGGGCUCCAUGCAGACUCAUCCCUGUGAGCCGGGGUCUGUCAUCUGUCAAAUGGGGUCAGCUCACAGCUGGCCUCACUUGCUCCCCACAGUGUGCGUGUGAUGACAUGCUUGGGGCAGCAGCCACUUCCCGCCAAGGACCAUCUUCUCCCAGUGCAAGAUGCAGGCGUCUCAUGGGGCCAAGAAGACCCUAGUCCUUCAGUUGUGUCCCUGUGGAGAAAACAAGUCCCUGCAGGGUCUCGGUGCAUCGCGUGCAGAGUACCGCAAGUGUGAGUUUGCUAAGGUUUGCCUCGGAGGAAGCAACAGCCCUGAGUGCAGAACUCUUGCACGGGGAAGCCUGGGUAACUCCUCUUUCCUUUAUACCAGGCCGUGAGGGCCACAGGGCAGUUUGUCUCCCAAGGGUCCCAGGUCCAAACCUGGUUGGAUUGCGUAGGAUCUAUGGUGGCUGGGGGCGGGGUGGUGGCUGGGGGCGGGGUGGUGGCUGGGGAGUCCCCUCCCCACAACAAAGAAGGGCGUCUUCAGGGCCACCGCUGCACAUGUGUCCCCAUCAACCCCAGGGGCGUCCCGCGACAUACGCAGGGCAGUGUAGAAACCGCGAGGAAAGGGAGGCGCGCUCCUCACGGGCUGCCCGGCGCAUCGCCGCGUCCUCAUCUGUGCCUCCGGGGACCUGUAAGGCAGAUGCUGGGGGCUGCACCCGGCCCCUCGGCUCAGCCGAGCCCUGCCCCCGCGCGGUCCCCGCCCGGCACGCCCAACUCUCCAGCGCCGCGUCUCGGCGAUGACCACCACCCGCCUCUGCGCCCCAGGACGCGCGAGCCGAGCCACCUCGGCGGCAAGCAGCGCCGGAACUUGGGGGCGCGGUGAGUGGGGGCGGGGUGCCGGCGGGCAGUGGCCCCUGCCGGGUGUCUGAUUCUGGCGCUAGAAGUCCUUCCCCGUCUCCACGAAUCGGGGCUGUUAGGUCCUUCCCUGCUCUCCGGGCUGGCUAUGUCCCGGACGCGACAGGUCCAGACGUGGGACACCUCCCUCAUCCGCGCUCGGGACGCGGUUUCUCCUUCCCUCUUCCUGGGGUUGAGGCCCGCGGGUUGGGCAUUGCGGCGAGAGGGCCCCAUGGUUUCGUUUGCUUUCUUACAGGCCCCCCUCGGCCUGCCUGGGUUUCGGUCCCGCCGCGGAGCGGCGAGAAGCUCCCGGAAGAGUCGCGAUGGCCGUGGAGUCCGGUCGUCGGCUCCGGGAGCGCGCCCCGGGAGGAGACGAGGGGCGCCGCGCUGUUUGCGCUGUCGCAGAGGACGCACCAGUCCCCGCAGGCGGCAGCGGUGGAGGGCCCGGGACCCGGUGCCUAUGGGGGACCGGCUCCAAGGCGGAGCGCGCUCGGUGCCCCGGCAGCGCGCCCUGCCGCGGCACCCCGGUCUUCUGUCCUAGCGCACACCCCACCCCGACGUGACUCGGGUGGUUGCAGCGCUCCCGCCCCGUUCCUGAGGGCUGGCGCCGCCCCCACCCGCCCCUCCGCGCCCUACCUGCACCCUUUUCCUUCUCAGGUGGAGGAGAGGGCCGGCGCCCGGUCCUCUGGAGAGAGACGACUCCACGGAUCUGCGGCCCGAGAGACGCGUCUCUCGCCCCGGGGCCGGGUGGUUCGCGCAGGAGGAAGGACCGCGAAGCGGGCUCUGCCUGGGCUUGCCUGGGCUUGUUCAGAGCCGGGCUGCUUCCCUCAGUGGCCGCGCCGAUCUGGGGGGGAUUUCGAGAUUUUGCGGGAGCCUUGGAGCCAAAUCCCAGGGAGGAGGAGGCCGGAAGCCUGCGCGACCAGUUCGCCGUCCAAGGAUGGAGCCCAGGAGUCUCCCAAGACCCAGGACAUCCUCCCCAUUGAGUCUUCAGCACCCAGUGCAAGUAAUAUGUUAUGGGUGGGUUCAUGAAGGGGACAUUCGUGCUUUCUGAAAGAUGUGCUGUGGAAUUACAAAGGUUUCCUGAGUGAAUUUCCACAUCUCCAUGGAUGGAGAACGGGUUCUGCUUUCCCAGGAAUGGUAACAUUCAAGAGCCUUGUUCUCAGAAUCCACUUUUUCUUUAAUGCUUAAACUUUAAGUGCCAGGAACUUAAAAUGCCCCUGGUGAAGAUGACUUCUGGUUUUCUUGUAUUCUGGUUCUCUGUAUUUUCUUGCAUUCCUGGUUCCCGGGGCCAGCAGCUCUAGCUCUAUAGCAAGAUGUACUGGGUUCGGGGCUGAAAAGGGCCCCUGUAAGAAGAGAAGGGCUUCCCAGGUGGCACUGGCGGCAAAGAACCCUCCUGCCAAUGCAGGAGAUGUGGAUUCGAUCCCUGGGUGGGGAGGAUCCCCUGGAGGAGGGCGGGGCAACCCACUCCAGUAUUCUUGCCUGGAGAAUCUCCAUGGACAGAGGAGCCUGGUGGGCUACAGUCCAUAGGGGUCACAAAGAGCAGGAUAUGACUGAAGCGACUUAGCACACAUGCAAGGAGAAGAGAAGUGAAGCAUCAUCACAGCUCUGAACGGAACUCCGGGCCUUUUAAACAUCUUGUGUUAAUGCAGCAGAAGCUCGCCUGGCAAGUGGACCAAAGGUGUUUCAGUAGAAAGGAAAGUACAUUGAAAAAGUAUGUUCACAUGGGUUGUGACUUUCCAGUAAAGUCUGAUUCCAUGGAAGACUGCUAACUUGGUGUAUUUUGUAAAUUUCAUGGAAUGCAGUCGGAUUUGAGGCACUGACUGAUUAUUCACGCUAGCCUCCUGUGUCUUUUGGAAAAGAUUAUUCCUCAGGUCCCGGCCUCCUAUCUCUGGAAGAUUGUCCUCUCCAUCUGAAAGCCCUGACUGAUGAGGUGUGGUGUCUGGGGUGGGAGGUGGGGGGAGGGGAGUGAGGCAGCCUCCCUAGGUAGACCCCUUCAUCAAGGUUGCUGCCUAGAUUCAGACAAUGGGGUUCUGCUUGGAAAUCAGGGGGCAGGGGCCGCUUAGCAGAGGCUGGUGCAUCUAGUUUGGCUUGGAUACUCCCAGCCCCCCAUCUUGCUUUUUGGAGCCAUCUUUUUUUUGGAGGUUUGCUGCUCUGAGCAGCUUGUAGGGUCUUAGAUCCCCCCCACGAGGAAUCGAACCCAGGCCUGGACACUGAAAGCUCUAAGUCCCAACUGCAGGACCACCACGGAAGUCAUUGAGGCAUCUUUUCUUCCCAGACUGUUUCUGAGCCUGAGGGUGGGCUGGACCUGGAUCUGACAGGCCCCUCAUCUCCAUCCUUCCCACACUCUGUGACACCUGCUCUAGACCUGUGCCAGGGAUGAAGACAUGCCCUGUCCCCGUGUAAUGCACAGCCCUCCCACCCUCAGUAGUGGCAGAGCCACACUUGGACUGCAGCCGGAGAGCGCCCACACUGGCCAGGCGUGCCGCUGCCCCUUGGUCUACAUGUAGUCAUCUUCACAGUGGGAAACCUGCCUCUGCUUCCAGUUCCCAGGGUCCUCUGCCUGGGCCGGCCUAGGCUGGGAGUCCAGGGAGGGGGAGACUCAGACCCCUCUUGUCCCUGUGCUCACGGGAGGGCAUGGUCACUGCAGGAAGUGACUUUGGCCCCUUCCCAAACCUGCUGGAUCAGAAGCUCCACUGUGGGGCUGGGAAACUGCCCCUUUCCAAGAUCCCAGGCAACUCUUACACACAGGAAAGCCCAUGCUCUGACCUGAUGAAUGCGUUCUGCCAGGACUUACCUUUGGGGUAGAAUUGGACGUAUUUGGGGCGUUUUUCCCACACUAAAAAGAUAACGCCUGGCUUGCUUUUAUUUUUUAAAUAUUUAUUUCUUUGGCUGCACUGGGUCUUAGUUGCGGCUCGUGGGAUCUUUGAUCUUCACUGUAGCACAUGGCACCUUUGGCUGUGGCAUGUGGGGUCUAAUUCCCUGACCAGGGGUCAAACCUGGGCCCCCUGCGUUGGGAGUAAAAAGUCUUAGCCAGUGUACCACCAGGGAAGUCUCCUGCCUUGCUUCGUUAGAAUACAGACAUGUUCACCUGUUUGGGGGCAGAAGACUGAGGUAAGCAGUCAUUCCAUCAGCCCCACUGGACAUUUUGUAGCCAAGAAAGGAUAAGCCUGUGUGCCCUCCUCCUACAGCGUGUGUGUAGGAUGCCCUCCCAGGGGCUUUCUCCUCUCUGGCAGAGAGAUUCCUCUGGCUGGGGAGCUGCCUUACUCUGUACCCCCUUGCCUGGAACACAGGUUUCUAGGACUUCCCUUGCUGGGGUACAGAACACCCGCUGCAUGUGUCCCCCCUCCCACACCUUGGAUGGUCUGCAUCCAAAGCCGUGAGUCACGCAGUCUUCAGGCCGCCUCUCUGUGAUGGUCAGUUUGAGGCGUCUAUGUGAGCAGGCUGUGGGACCCAGGAACCGAGCCAGACACUAGUCUGGGUGCUGCUGUGACGUUUUGCAGGUGGGUCAUCAUCCACCAUCAGUUUACUCUGAGUGAAGAUCAUCCAGGAGAGUUGGUGGGCCUCAUCUAGUGAAUUGAAGGCCUUAAGAGCCCAGCUGGGACCCAAGAGGAAGAAAUUGUGUGGUUGGAUGGCAGUACCUGCUCUGGCCCAGGAGUCUCCAGCUUGCUAGGCUGCCCUGCAAACUUCAGCCUGGCCUAGCAGCCCCUGUGAGCACAUGAGCCCACUCCUUGACAUAAAUCUUCAUCCAUAUUUCCUCUGUCAGAACUCUGAUGGAUCCACUCUACACUGUGCCCAGGAUCUGGGAGCAGUCACUGCUGCUUUAUUUUGUUGCUUGCUUUUUUUUUUUUUGGCUGCACUGGGUCUUUGUUGCAGGGCAAGGGCUUCUCUCAUUGCAGCGUUUGGGCUUAGCAGCCCCCCAAGUCAUGUGGGAUCUUAGUUCCCUGCCCCUGCGGAUCAAACCCACAUCCCCUGCAUUGCAAGGUGGAUUCUCAACCACUGGGCCACCAGGGAAGUCCCCAUGAAUUUUAAACUAUUAUCAUUUUCUAACUUCUCAUCCAGGGAAGUACUGGCUUGUUUUUCCUCCUGAUCAGUGUGGGUCGUGGGCCACCCCUGCUGGAAUCUUUGUGAUCUCAGCUUUCUCCUCCAUCCUCUUUCCUCCCCUCCCCAUUUCUUUCUCUGCAGGUUUCAAGCAGAGGCAGGACAGGCCUGCCCCCUGUCAUCGGCAGGGCCAGCUGUGAGUGUUUCUUUGGCAGUGUCUUAGCUGGUUGUUGUGAGUAAUAAUGCAGGAAGCAAUCAGCAAGUAUACUGCCCUAGAAGUGCUGCACGUUGUGGGCCCAGGAGGGAAGAAAGGGGCAAGACGCUCGAACCAUCAUGGGAUGCUGGGACAGGAUGUCGGAGGCUUUGCCCUGCCAUGGCAGCUGGUAAGGGCUGCUGGGGAAGCAAGCUCUUGGGCCCCUGGAGCUGCCUGCUUAUAACUGUUGGAGGAAAAAUGUGCACAGGCUGGGCCAUGGAUGGUUUCUGGCUGGGAGGAAUUUGCAUGUAGGAAUGAUAAUUGCCAGUGUUUAUGAAGCACUUACUAUGUAUGAAGCCCUGCAUCCUAGGGCUUAUGUAUUAUCUCAGGAGCAAGAAUCUGUUGUUACCCUGCCUUUCAGAGAAGAAGCGGAAGUACCAAGAGCAAAAGUAACACAGGAUGGGACUUCCCUGGUGGUACAAUAGUUAGGGCUCUGUGAUUCCACUGCAGGGGGCACAGGUUUAAUCCCUGGCUGGGCAGCUAAGAUCCCACAAGCCACAAAGUGUAGCCAAAAACAAUAAUAAUAAUAAUAAAUUUUAAAAGUAGCAAAAGAUGCAGUUGAUAGAAAGGGGAGCCAAGCAAUCUGGCUUUGAACUCUGUACUCCUAACUGCAGGCUCGUGUCCUUAGAGAUGGGCCUGUGAUGGUGUCACUGACCUGUGGGGACCCCCUUUGCCGAGUGAUUUGAAUGUGAACACCCUGUACUCUCUCCCUGCAUGAAGCAAAUUUCAAAUGCAAUCAUAUGCUUCGGAAAAGGUACCUAUGUGGGCAUUAGGAGAUGUGUCUGCCUUGGGGAGAGUUUUUCUUUUCAUCUGAAGCCAGGCCCAGGAGGUUGAUGGGGAGGAGAAGCUGGUGGUGUUUUCUGCGCUAGUGGCUGAUAAGAAGGGUUGCUCCAAGGGAGCUCAGCUGAGACGAGAGUUUGGUUCUCUGGGUCCCACCAGUUCCACCUACCGAUGCCAGCUUUGGGUCCAGCGAGCUGUGAGGCCUGCCAGAUUACCAUGACAACAGGAACUGGAUCCAAGCCACCAAAGGAUGGAGAGCCAAGACAGCAGUGGCUUUUUCAAGUCUUGGAUCAUCAGGCACACCCCAUGGCCUCCAGCAAGCCCGGGAUAACCCAACAGCAAUACAGGCCCUGUGUGUCCCCAGAGCCUGCCAAACCAGCUUGGGGUCCUUGCCGUCCUGCCAUUGGUAUCUACUUGCUGACACUGAGUGGUGAGUUCCCCAGUUCACUGUCCAGCUGAUUUUCCCCAUUGUUCUCCAAUAUGGUGCUUAUAGGAAUUCACCCGAAUCCCAGAGGCAAAGCCACGUGCCAGUGGCUGACUCCUUUGACCCCAAUGACUAAAGUAAGACAAGCCUCCAGGGUCUAUGAAGCGAUGGGUACUGUUGAUGCAGUCUGAGGACAGCACCGCUGUGAUCGGCCCUCCCACAGCCUCUGCGUGUCAUCUGCCACUCCACUUCCAGCCACUGCCCAGGGCACCUGCCCUGCUCGUGCCCACCCAACUGGACCCCAUCUCCUAGCUCUGUCUUGUCUUUCUUUGUACUUCUAAACGCUGGAAGGGAGAGGAGACUAUUUCCAUUCUGACCACUUUGUAAGAGUCAGAAGGGCCUUAGAAUGGAUUUCUGGGAUUUGAAAUUGAACCUUGGCCUUGACACACUCUGCCUGAUAGCCCCUCCUCCAGACUAAGCCAGUCCUCUGUCUCUUAUUGCUGGAGAGCAAAGCAGGCAGCCAGAUCUGUUCCUGUGGGAAUGGUCCGGUCCUCCUCUGCUCAGCUGCUCAGUGGGCUGGCUUCAGAGAGGAUCCCUUUGCAUGCACACUGCACUGGCCACGCCUGCGGCUGCCUGGCCACAGCUCCUCUCUGCUCCCCAGAGCCUGUGUGGGCUGCAGCAGGGCCAUCGCAUGCCUGGGAUGCCGGCUGCAGUGAUAGAGCCAGCCCAGAGCCCUCACGGGAGCUCUGACCAAGACAGCAUUUGGGAUCAAUUAUAAGCCAAAGUCUUUACAUUUUUUCCCCCAGUUUUAGGCUGAAGUAAAGAAUGCCUGCCUUCUCCAACCACCAACUGAUCUGGGAGCUUGAGCUUCUCAAAUAAAGGUACCAGACUCCUCUGUCCAUGGAAUUCCCCAGGCAAGAGUACUGGAGUGGGUUGCAUUCCCUUCUCCAGAGGAUCUUCCCGACCUAAGGAUCGAACCAAGGUCUCCCGCAUUGCAGAUGGAUUCUUUACUGUCUGAGCCACCAAGGAAUCCCAAAGGGACCACAGGUUUGAAUUAUGAUUUAACUAGACUGUUAAUUUGAGUUUAGGUAAUAUCAUUUGCAAAGUAGCCUUUUCCUGUCUAGCUUUGCUUUUAGUUAUACCAGCAAGGAGCAUCCUUGGUGGCCCAGUGGUAAUGAAUCCGCCUGCAGAAUAGGAGACCUGGGUUUGAUCCCUGGGUCGGGAAGAUCCCCUGGAGAAGGGGAUCAGGCAAACUACUCCAGUAUUCUUGGCUGAAGAAUUCCACGGACAGGGGAGCCUGGCAGGCUACAGUCCACGGGGUCACAAAGAGUCGGACACAACUUAGCGACCAACACAUGCAGUUAUGUCAGCACAGAAACAUGAUCUGCUUCUCACAUAAAGUUCACUUAUCUGUGACCUGUCUCAGAUGGAGGUCGCCUGUAGACAUCCCUGGAUGAUCAUUCAGAAAACAAACGUCAGGUUGUCCCCGCUUCUGUUUGUCCCUGCUUCUGUUUGGGUCUCAGAUAAAACUGAUGUGUUCAUGGCAGUUGAAUUUACUCCUGCAGUCUUUAGAGCGGAUGGAUAGAACAUUUCUGUCAUCUUUAUAUCUGAUGGUAACAGAAGACAUGUACUUGGAUAUUCAUCUAGCUCUUUAUCUCCUCUCCUGUGGAGGCGUGAGGGGGUGGUGUUGGCUCCACAGGAGUGAGUUUAGAAUAGACUGGUAAAGAGGGCUACUUCCCUGUCUCUGUCUGUCUCUCUCACCCAUACAGACACACCUGGAUGCACGUACGCACACACGCACUCAUGCACAUUGGCCUUGAAUCUGGGGAGUUCGGGGUCCUUAAGUUGAGUAUGUUCGGCCCUGGGGCAGAGCGCACUUCUUCUUUGGGAAUGAAGGGGCAAAUCCUAGUUUGUAGCUGGUGGGUUGGAGAGAGGGACCAAGAACUUCAUGACUGGACUUAAGUUUGGAGGCAGGUAGAGUUAAAUGCAAGUUUUAUGUUUUUUGGGGAAAGUAUCUGUUCUUCUUGACUGAGGCAAAGUGUAGGUUAAAACAUACAUUUGGUUAAAAUGUAUAUGCAGGUGUUUCUCUGGUGGUCUAGUGGCUAAGACUCCGUGCUUCAAGGCUGGAGGUGCAGGUCUGAUCAUGGUCAGGGAACUGGGCUGCCGCGUGACAUGAGGUGAGGCCAAAAAAACAAAAAACCAAAAAAAAUCACUUAAAAAAAAAUAUAUAUAUAUGUCAGCCUAUAUAUUUAAUAAGCUCUGUGGAUCAGUAAUAGCCAUUUCCUAGUUUCAGUAUUGUCCUACAGUUACUGAGAGAAACUGACUCAAAAGUAUAUAGGAUCUCUCUGUAUCUUUUUUUUUUGCAAUUUUCUAUAAAUCUAUGGUUAUUUAAAAAUAAAAAGUUACAACAUAUAUUUGACUAAAUGCUGUGUGGUGUCCUCGAUUGGAUCCUGGAACAGAAGAAAGACAUGAGUACAGAAACUGGUGAAACCCAAGAAAGAUCUUUUAACAUUUACCAAUGUUAAUUUCUAAGUUUUGAUAAUGGUUAUGUAAAAUGUUAACAUUUAGAGGAAACUGAGUGAAGGAUAUGAGGGAAUUCUCUUUGCAACUUUUCUGUAAAUCUAAAAUUAUUCCAAAAUUUAAAGUUUAUUAAAAACAAAAACAUGUAUGUAUAUAUAUAUAUAUAUGUAUGCAUGCACACAUAUGUAUUACAUUUAUAUUUAAACACAUCCACAAAACCAGUGUCCUUAAAAAUACACUUUCUUUAGGUGAAGCAUCAGAUGGUGCCUCUGAGGUGAGGCAAUAAUUAAGGGCCCUUUCAACAAAUGAACUGCAAGGUCAUUUAGUUCCCUAAUUUGUCUGUAUUCCCACAGGGACCCUACACAGCUCUUAAAACCCAAUAGGAACCUGAAUUCUCCCCUCUCUGAAUCAUACAAUAGGGAAAGUUCAUUGUAGUACAAUCUCAUUUUCCAGAUCAGAAACUGAGGCCCAGAUAAGAACUGAUGUAAUUUAAAUUGAGAUUUCCUGGAAUAUUUAAAACUGAAUUUCUUACUUUUUCUGUUUGACCAGCCUGCACUUGGACACAUACAAAAUAAUCAUAACUGUAACCUUUGUACGUUUAAGGGAAGAGGGGCAGGUGGGAAGGAAAUAAUCUUUGCCACUCUUUUCUGGGGCUCUCUCUCCCCAGGAUCAGUGGUUAAAAUUGGUGGGUGUGGUGAGGAAUCUGGUCAAAAUGAAAGCUUUAAUUCAGCACCUAGUCCGUGCCCUACACCAGACAGGGUGCUAGUAGGGAUGCCCAAGGACUAGGGGACAUUGGGGGAGUUUUGCUCCCCAGCGGCCUCUUAUAGCAGCAGCUGCUGGAUCCUUGGGAAAACCACUCACCCAACUAGAUGCAGUCAGGGGCUCCCCUGGUCAGUGUGAGUCGUGAGCUCAGGGUGCAGAUGAGGCGUACUUGCAGUUUGCCGGUCCCAGUGCACACAUUCAAAGGGGGAUCCUGUCACUCUGGCGCCCUGGAUCCCCCAAGCUCCUUGGUCCCAUCCUGCCUAAGUAUUCCUGCCAUCCGAGGAGCUGCCUUGUUUUCACUAGAUAUGAGUUCACCAGCGUCCCAUUUAUUGUUUGAAACUCACAAACUAAAUGAUAUGCCUACACAGAGGAAGGAGUGGUUCCUUCACUCUUCAUCCCCUGCAUCUCUCUCUGGACAUUACCUGGAGCCACUUUGGACAAAUCCAUCCUUUGCUGGAACUGGAAUUGCCAAAGUAAACAGCCAAAUACAUAGGCCCUUGAACUCUUUAACUAAGAGGUGCCUUGUGCCCCUUUGGUGUUUCUGUAGUAAUUGUUCAGGCUGGUACCUCCUCACUCCAUCCCCAGGAUCCUGAGGCAUCAUUCCAGAACAGAGCAUCAGGCCUUAGUCUAAUUUCCGUAAUGCACAGAAAUCACAGAUUAUCCUGUCUCUAAAUGACAAACUUUAAGGAUUGUCUUUUUCUAUUUGAAGUUACUGCUAAAACAUGGAAUACAGAUAGGAGAGAAGAGAUGAAACUAUUAACUUUUAAUAUAGAAGCCAUCUCCCCCAGCUUAUGGUCUGGAAGUUUCCACGAGGCUCAGAUCUGAAGGAGCAGGUUAUCUGAUUCUUGGUGCUGGUGACAAGUCAGUGGCUCCUGGUGAGGUUGCUGUGCCCUGGACACUGGCCUCACUCCUCCCUUUGCUGUUCCCUGAGAGCCAAGGCAGCUUCAGGAUAUGUAGUCUGUACAGUCAUCACAGGACCCUGUGCUUAGCAGGGCCUGCGUCUGGGGUGUCACCAGUGGAACUUGGUAAUGACUUUGGAACAAGGACUUGCAAUUUCACUGUGCACCUGGCCCAUGAAUUGUGUAGCCACUUUUGUCUAAUACCUGCCACAAGCCUUCAGGCUGGAGGUAAUGAGGACUCUGUUGUCCCACGUCAAACUCAUGACCCAGUUUGGGAUCAGGACUUGGUGACCACUUCCUGAGACAGCCUGACACAGAACAGGUGCUGCAGCAAAAGAUGGUGACCGACCCACCCAGAGAGUUGGGGCGAGGGAGGCUGGGUGGGACCAGAAUUAUUCUGGCUGAACCCAGGGCCUCUCAGGGGACACACACAAAUACAGAACCUGGGUCCAGUGCUUGGGGCUGCCUCUGACAGUCAUAAGAAACUGGCUCAUCAGAACUCAGGAAUGUUUCUUGUUUUGUGACUUGUUUCUGCUUGGGGACUGUGUUACUCUGCUAGGGCUGCACUAACAAAGAACCGCAGAAAAUCUGUCUUCUCACAGUUGCAGAGGCUGGAAGUCCAAGAUCAAGGUGUCAGCAGAGCUGGUCCCAUCUGAGGCCUGUCUCCUUGGUUCACGGAUGGCCCUCCUCUCACUGUGUCCUCACAUGAUCUGUGCCUGCCUGUGACCACACCUCCCUUUUUAUGAGAAUGCCAGUCAUACUGGAUUAGAACCCACCCUGAUGACCUCUAACCUGAUUACCUCAUUAAAGAACCUAUGUCCAGGGACUUACCUGGUGGUCCAGUGGGGUCCCAAGUUCAGUCCCUGGUCAGGAAACUAGAUUCCACAUGUCACAACUAAGAUCGAAGAUGCCGGUGCCACAGCUAAGACCCUGUGCAGUCACAGAUAAAUAAAUACUAGGGGGGAGAAAAAACCCAGUCUCCAAAUUCAGUCACAUUCUGAAAUCCUGAGGGUCAGGACUUCAACUAUGGGUUUGCAGAGUGGGGUCGGGAUGGUGGUGACACAGUUCAGCUCAUCAUUGAGAUUUUUCUGAACACUUCAAAGCCAAGUAUUAAUAGCUUAGCAGUAUCUUUCCCGUCUAGAGAUGCACUCUGGGGCCUGUUCUCUGUCCAUAGGAAGAGGCAGUGAAAGACCCAGGAGCCAACAGAACGUAGCCGUUGGAGAUUGCUCAAGGGCAUGGGGCGUGGUCACUUAGUACUGGCUCUCAGAAAGAUGCACAAGAGUGAUCAUGCAGAGGGCAGGGACCAUCUGUGCCGGAGUCCUGUGGGGCCUGAGCAAGAGGGGUGAUCGGAACCACAGGACUUGGGUCAGAGAUGGGAGAAGGCCAGCAAGCUCAGGGU
ensembl:lncRNA